UGAGGAAUAUUGCACAAUGGGAGCAAUCCUGAUGCAGCGACGCCGCGUGCGGGAUGAAGGGGCUUAGCCUCGUAAACCGCUGUCGGAGGGGACGAAUGGUACAUUUGAUGUACUGAGACGGUACCCUCAAAGGAAGGAUCGGCUAACUACGUGCCAGCAGCCGCGGUAAUACGUAGGAUCCGAGCGUUGUCCGGAAUUACUGGGUGUAAAGGGUGCGUAGGCGGACUUGUGCGUCAGAGGUGAAAUCCAC
rnacentral:rRNA from 1 species